rnacentral:rRNA from 1 species
AUUGAACGCUGGCGGCAUGCCUUACACAUGCAAGUCGAACGGCAGCACGGGUGCUUGCACCUGGUGGCGAGUGGCGAACGGGUGAGUAAUACAUCGGAACGUACCCUGUAGUGGGGGAUAACUAGUCGAAAGAUUAGCUAAUACCGCAUACGACCUGAGGGUGAAAGUGGGGGACCGCAAGGCCUCAUGCUAUAGGAGCGGCCGAUGUCUGAUUAGCUAGUUGGUGGGGUAAAGGCCUACCAAGGCGACGAUCAGUAGCUGGUCUGAGAGGACGAUCAGCCACACUGGGACUGAGACACGGCCCCGACUCCUACGGGAGGCAGCAGUGGGGAAUUUUGGACAAUGGGCGAAAGCCUGAUCCAGCAAUGCCGCGUGUGUGAAGAAGGCCUUCGGGUUGUAAAGCACUUUUGUCCGGAAAGAAAUGGCUCUGGUUAAUACCUGGGGUCGAUGACGGUACCGGAAGAAUAAGGACCGGCUAACUACGUGCCAGCCGCCGCGGUAA